rnacentral:rRNA from 1 species
UACGUAGGGUGCAAGCGUUAAUCGGAAUUACUGGGCGUAAAGCGUGCGCAGGCGGUUUUGUAAGUCUGACGUGAAAUCCCCCGGGCUUAACCUGGGAAUGGCGUUGGAGACUGCAAGGCUGGAAUCUGGCAGAGGGGGGUAGAAUUCCACGUGUAGCAGUGAAAUGCGUAGAGAUGUGGAGGAACACCGAUGGCGAAGGCAGCCCCCUGGGUCAAGAUUGACGCUCAUGCACGAAAGCGUGGGGAGCAAACAGG